rnacentral:snRNA from 1 species
UUGCUUUGGCAUCAUGCAUACUAAAAUUGGAAAGAUACAGAGAGGAUUAGCAUGGCCCCUGCACAAGGAUGACCCACAAAUUCGUGAAGCAUUCCGUAUUUUU